rnacentral:misc_RNA from 1 species
GAUGAAGAACGCAGCAAAAUGCGAUAAGUAAUGUGAAUUGCAGAAUUCAGUGAAUCAUCGAAUCUUUGAACGCACAUUGCGCCCCUUGGUAUUCCAUGGGGCAUGCCUGUUCGAGCGUCAUUUGUACCUUCAAGCUCUGCUUGGUGUUGGGUGUUUGUCUCGCCUCUGCGUGUAGACUCGCCUCAAAACAAUUGGCAGCCGGCGUAUUGAUUUCGGAGCGCAGUACAUCUCGCGCUUUGCACUCAUAACGACGACGUCCAAAAGUACAUUUUUACACUCUUGACCUCGGAUCAGGUAGGGAUACCCGCUGAACUUAAGCAUAUCAAUAAGCGGAGGA